GACGUAGGGCGCGAGCGUUGUCCGGAUUUAUUGGGCGUAAAGAGCUCGUAGGCGGCUUGUUGCGUCAGCUGUGAAAACCCGCAGCUCAACUGUGGGCUUGCAGCUGAUACGGGCAGGCUUGAGUUCGGUAGGGGAGACUGGAAUUCCUGGUGUAGAGGUGAAAUUCGUAGAUAUUGGGAGGAACACCGGAGGCGAAGGCGGCUAUCUGGACCGACUUUGACGCUGAGGCGCGAAAGCGUGGGGAGCAAACAGG
rnacentral:rRNA from 1 species